GGACAGGAACCUGAAACUUCUCUACGUCAGCAUCUUGGUGCUGAGCACAAGCUUCUGGUAGCCAUUUCUGCUUUUGUUGUAGAGGUCACCAAAUAAAAGCAAGUUUAGGCAUAUACGUUUUUAAAGACACAGCUCUUCAGGGGUGGCUUUUUGUAGCUGUCUGCUACCAGACAGGAUACCAGACAGGAAAAUAGGAGUAGUGCCAUUAAGCCCUUUGCCUCAUAUUUGUUCAGGCUGUAGUGCAGCAAUGAGAAGUGCUUUUGCAUUGUGUAGAAGAACUGUGAAGUGACUAAGAUUUGCC
rnacentral:lncRNA from 1 species